GGCCGCUUUGCGCUUCCAUACCCUCUGUCGCGGGUGCAGCACAGAAAGUGACGCCAUAGGGCAUUCUGACGGGUAGGGAAAUGUGACACCACACCGGAUAUGGCUGUUGCUUGGUGAGGUGGACCAGGAAGUGAAGUGUGGAGGUACUGACGGGGAGAAAUCCCUAUUGUGCUCGACAUGACUAAUGGUGAGAAUUUGUGAAAUUGACGAGAAGGCGCUUUAUUGUAGUAUCCUACAUGCUCUCAUGCACGUUAUAUAUUAUUGUAAGAUGCUAUUGGUCAGGUAACUGCUGCACUUUUACACGUACAUAGGUCGACGAGCUCUCAUAUGUGUGAUCUAUGUUAAUAUAUGUAAUAAGUUGCUUCCACUGUAAAAAAAAAAUAUCUAAGUCUGCAUAUGUUUUCUCUCUCUCUCUCCUUAGCAUACUCCCUGGACGGGCUCCUGGUCUUUGCUCUGCUCUUUGUUUGCACCUGUGCGUAUUUUAGGAAAGUGCCACGUUUGCGCACUUGGCUCCUGUCUGAAAAGAAGGGUGUGUGGGGAGUCUUCUACAAGGGUAAGAACUGAUUUCGGGAAGACCAAGCAAGGCAAAAAAAAUACAAUUCGUUGAAAUGGGGAUGAACCAUAAGUGACUGUCACGUGUGUGUGUGUAUAUAUAUCUAUAGAUGUGUGCAUGAAUGUGUAUGUAUCUAUCUGUAUAUAGAGGUGUGUGUGACUUGUGACACAUUUUGAAUACUAAUUUUUAUUUUUUUUUCAGUAUCAAUGAAUAUAACAUUUAGGGUAAGGGCUAGGGUUACAGUUAAAAUGUACCGGUCAUGGUACAGGACACUGGUUCUUAUCCAUAAGCAUUUAUUCCAGUUUAUAUAUUAUAUGUAAGUCAUUAUUUCAUUUGUUUUGUUUGUUUCUUUGUACAUGUUUUGAUAUCAGGCUUCGUAGGGCAUUUAGACCCCUCAUUUGUGUUCCUUCGUAUACGGUUGGAUCUACAGCUAUAUUUGUUUUCUGGUAUAUAUUUUGUGUAUUUAAGUGUUAUUAGAGUCUGUGUCCAUGCUUGCUGUGCACUCGAUACUAAUAUUUUUUAUGGCACAGGACACUAAACAUAAAAUUUACAAUAAUAAAAUAAAUCUAUAGAUUGUGCUUGGAAGUAUUUAGAAAAUAAAUAUUUGUUUUUAAAAUACGGUCAAUCAGUAGUUUCCAAAGAAGUCAUAGGGUUCCCUCUGUUGUAGAGCUACAGAGUGGAAAGGAAGUAAGUAUUAAAGGGAUGCUCUAAGUUUCAAAACAAAGUGUAGCUUAACCCCUUAAGGACACAGCUUCAGAAGCUUGACUUACGCUUAAUGACACAAGCAAUUUUUGCAUUUUCUUGCUGUUUGUGUUCAACUGCAAUUUGCAUCUCUCUCAUUUAUUGCACCGACACAUAUUAUAUACUGUUUUUUAAAGGACAGAAAGGGCUUUAAUUUGAUAUAACAUAUAUAUAUAUAAAUGCUUACUUAUUAUAAAAAAAAUACAGAAAAAUGCAAAAAAAAUGAAAAAUAUUGUUUUUUUUUACAGUUUUUGCAAUAAUAAUGUGUGCAUAAUUAGUGCAGGUUAAGGAAAGUAAUUAAAAAUAAAUUUAUUUAUUUGUUCUGAUUUACAGAAUAUAUAAUGUGUCUGGGAUUUAAAGUUUUUUUUGGUAGUUACAGGUCACAAAGCACAAGGAGUAAAAUAAAAUUUUAAUGUGGAGCGAUUUUAGAAUUUGGUAUGUUUGUCUUGUAAGCUUAAUAGCCAUAAAAGAAAACAAAAUUGCCACACAAAAGUAUAUAUUUAUAUAAAGUAGACAUCACGGCUAUUUACCUAAGGUUGUUUUGACACUUUCUACGUAGCCAUUUCACCGCCAACCUCUGCUAAAUAUUGGAGUAAAAUUGUGUUCUUUUUGGUUUUUUGCACACAAACUUAUAACAGAGAAAUUCUCGUGUAUAUUUUGUAAAGUUGGUGUGUGCUAUUCCUGUACAAAGUUUUAUUUUGUGUUCAGUUACAUCUGCUGAGUAAAAUGACACCCCAUUGUAUGUCUUUUGCACUAUUUCGUGAAGUUACAGUGCCAUACAGGAUACCUGUCCUUUUCAGUAUUCACAGUAGAAUUUUGAGAGAUGAAUUUAAUGAGCCUUAGCUUCCAUUUGGGGUAUUAUAACAGUUUGACUGUUCAAAAAAACCCCACAAAGGCCUACCAUUUGUAAAAGUAGACACUCCAGGGUAUCUUAUAAGGUGCAUAUUGUGCCUUAACAUGCCCCCAUUUUUUCACCAAUAUAUGCCAAAGUAUGUGGUAAAAAAAAAUUUUGUGCAUUUUUUACAUACGGAUUGCAUUUUUGCUGGGCGUUUUGUAUAUUUCAUAUGUGCCACUAAGUUCAAACCCCCCAAAUUAUGCUCAGCUAAGUCUUCUGAGUAAAAUGACACCCCAUAUGAAUGUCUUUGGCACUAUUUCGUGAAGCUACAGUGCCAUAUAGGAGACCUGUCCUUUACAGUAUUCACAGAAGAAUUUUGAGAGAUGGAUUUAAUGAGCCUUAGCUUCCAUUUGGGGUAUUAUAACAGUUUGACUGUUCAAAACCCCCCACAAAGGCCUACCAUUUGUAAAAGUAGACACUCCAGGGUAUCUCAUAAGGUGCAUAUUGUGCCUUAACAUACCCCCAUUUUUUCACCAAUAUAUGCCAAAGUAUGUGGUAAAAAAAUUAUUUUGUGCAUUUUUUACAUACGGAUUGCAUUUUUGCUGGGCGUUUUGUAUAUUUCAUAUGUGCCACUAAGUUCAAACCUCCCAAAUUAUGCUCAGCUAAGUCUUUUGAGUAAAAUACACCCCCAAUGAAUGUCUUUGUCACUAUUUUGUGAAGCUACAGUGCCAUAUAGGAGACCAAGCCAUAUCCGUUUUUACCAAACUUUGAAUUUUGACGCUGGGCCUAUGUGCAAUUUCCAAGCAUCUUCGCAGGUUUUAAAUUCAAUCUACCCCACAAAGGCCUACCAUUUCUUAAAGUAGACACCCCAGGGUGUUUCAAAAGGUAUAGUUUGAACCUUAGCGUGGGAUCAUUUUUCCGCUAGCUUGUACCAGAUGUAGUGGUAAUAAGCGUUUUUUCUGCCUUUUUGACAUACAAAGUGAGUUUGCACAGUAUAUUUUGCAAACCUUAUGUGUGCUACGACUGUAUAAUACUUCAUAUGUUGCUCAGCUAUGUCGGCUGAGUACAGCAAUACCCCCGUAUGUACCUUUGCCAGGUAUAUGUGGAUGUUGAAGGGGCGCAUUUGAGACGCAGCCAUUCAAAGUUAGAAAAAAACUGAAGUUUUACGCUGUGUCCAUGUUCCAAUUUGGAAUAGUUUAGACGGUUGGUUAUUGAAACUUCCCCACAAACACAUACUAUUUAUUAAAGAAUACACCCUGGGGUAAUUCAAAAGGCAUAUUUUGAACCUUGGCGUGGGAUAAUUUUUUCUCUAGUUUGUUCCAGGUGUAGUGGUAAUGAGCGUUUUUAAAAUGUAUUUUUUUACUUUUUAUAACUUUUUUACUUUUAAAAACUAGUUUUUAAACUUUUGUUUUGCUUAUAAAUUUUUUUUAAACUUUCCUAAACUUUCUUAAAACUUUUUUACAGAUUUAACAUUUUUCUAAGCUAUUUUUUUUACUGUUAACCCCUAACUAGCAGUACGCAGCACUAACAGUAAAUUCCCCAUUUUCCCAUAACUCCCACCCACCCCAGCUAGCAAAAUAUAUAGUUAUAAAAUAUUUAAAUUAAUUAAUUAAUUAAAUUGAACCCCUGAGGGUUAAAAAAAAUAAAAUAAAAGUUAAUCCUCUGGGGUUAAAAAAAAUUAGAUCACAGUAUAAUACUGUGAUCUCUAUUUGAUCGCUGUAGGCAGUGAUCGACUGGCAGGGAAGGGGUUAAUUUUUAUUUGGACUAGGUAAAGUGUGUUUUUUUGUUUUUAUUACUUAAAUGUUAUUAAAACAUUUUUUUAAGCUUAAUUUUUAACUUUUUAAAGUUUCUUUUAAAACUUUUUUUUAACGUUAACCCCUAGUUAGCCUAACGCCAAAUCCCCCAAUUCCCCACUAACUUCCACCUACCCCAGCUAUCUAAAUAUAUAAUUUAAAAAUAAUUUAAUUAAUUAAUUUAAUUAAUUUAACCCCUGAGGGUUAAAAAAAAAAGAAUUAACCCUCAGGGGUUAAAAAAAAAAUCAGAUCAUAGUAAAAUGUAAUCCCUGCCAAUUGAUCACUGUAGUCAGUGAUCAAUUGGCAGGGAAGGGGUUAAUUUUUUAUUAAAAUGGGUAAGGGGGGGGACUUUAAAUUAACUUUAUUUUUUUUUUCCAGCAGGGGGCAGGAUCAGCACUGAUCCGGCUCCCUGCACUUCACACAGAACCCGGAAGUGCAGGGAGCCGGUAGGUAAGUAUACAGAGCACAUGUGCUCGCUCCGACUUGUGGUCAGAGCGAGCACAUGUGCUGGGCAGCUUGACCGGGUGCUCCCGGUAUGCCUCGGAGCACCGUUAACCCCGAUAGCGGCGAUCCGGGGUUAAUUUUACCGCGUGACGGACGAGGUCCGUCACCCGUCGUUAAGGGUCUCCCCUGUGUGACGGACCUCGUCCGUCACCCGUCCUGAAGGGGUUAAUGAACCUCCUUUUAGUGUGUGUUUAUAUCAUGCCCCUGCUGUAUCACUGCUCAUUUCUUUCUUUGUAAUUUACAGCACAUUUGGCCCAUUUUCUGCCGAAAUGGGAUAGGCCCAUUUUCAGCUGAAAAUUUUGGUGCAUCCCUACUUUUAAUGGAUUAAAUAAAAGUUGUUUAAUUAAAUUUUGAACGAAGUCCUCGGAGUGCGGUUCGUUUUGCUUUAUCUACAUGAUUUGCCAGAACAGCACCGAGGGUGACCAGGCGUACAAGCCUUUGAAGUGUGUAUAUGUAUGUGUUUUUAUAUAUAUAUAUAUCUAUAUAUCUAUAUCUCCUAUUAAUUUUAUAUAUUAUUACAUAUAAUAUAUAUUAUUUUAUUAAUUAUCAUCAUUUGAGGGACCUGUCUGACAACACAGGCUGACAGUCCAGAGAAUUUAAUUGGAAAGCCCUAUAUUCAACCCUGUAACUUUCCAAAACACAUACAUGGGUGUUAUUGUUAUACUCUGGAGACUUUGCUGAACACAAAUCUGAGUUUUUCAAAAAGUGUAGUUUUUGUGUAAAAAAACAAAACAAAAAAACCCAACAAAUAUGAAUGCUAACUUUGGCAUGUGUUUAUGGCUACUACAAAAGACCCAUUUUGAAUACCCCGGGUUGUCUACUUUUUCAAAUGGUUUGUCAUGGUGGGGUUAUAUUCUGGUCUGCCAAACUGUCUCAAAGGCAACAUAGCUAAUCUGGCAAUUCACAAUUUACAAAAACAGAAAUUGGCAAAUCUUGUGUUUGAUCCUGUAACUUAACAAAUCACCAUAAAACCUGUACUCGUGAGACAUUACUCUACACAAAUACGAGCGUUUUAGAGCAGUGAAAUGUGUUAUACUGAUAUCAUCGUUGGGAUGGCAGUUUGUGUAAAAAAUGCAAAAAAAAUUAUAUAAACACUAAUUUUGGCCAGGGUUUGUGACUAAGUGGCUGCUAAAAAAGAGCGGACAUACCAUGGGUUGUCUACUUUUUUAAAUGGUAUGCCAUAAUGGGGUUCGUUUUCAUUCCUGGGCAGCCAUAUGGUCUCAAAGGCAACAUAGGCCCAGCAAACCUAUCUGGCAAAUUUCAAUGUGCAAACAUGGAAAAACCCUACAUUAGACCCCUGUACGUUUCCAAAAACACACAAAACCUGUACAUUGGGGGUACUGUUGUACUUGUGAGACAUUUCUGAAUACAAAUGUGUAUUUUAUUACAGUAAAAUCCAAAAGUAUUAUGAAGUUCCGUUAAAAUGCCAUUAAGACCGGAGGGCGUACAAUUACGCCCUAUUUUAGGCAGCUCUAAACGCCGCCGGGCGUAAUUGUACACCCUCCGGUCUUUCAUUACUUACUCCCAGGGAGCCCCCCCGCAGCAGAUCCUCCUUCUCUGUUGCCUCCCGGCCAUGUGAGAGUGAGGUCCUUGCGAGGACCUCACAAUCACAUGGCCGGGGGUAGCUGCCUCCUGCAUUGCCAGCAGGCGGGCUGCCUGUAAUGACAGGUGGUCCCCCUGCUGGCUGAAAAUAAAAUCAAAUAAAUGUUAAAAGUAUAAAAAAAAAAUAAUAUAUGUAUGUGUGUGCACACACGUACACUGUCUAGGUGUAUUUUACUAUUAAUAUAUAAUCUCAAAUUACAUGUAGACUGAUACUGAUUAAAAAAAAAAAUAUAUAUAUAUAUAUUAUAAAAAAAUUAAAUAUGUAAAUACGUUAAAAUAAAAAAAAAUUUAAAAAAAUAAUUUAUAUAGAUGUGUUAUUUCGUUCUAACUGUAUUGUGAUAUUAAUAUAUAUUUAUAUCAAAAUACACGUAGAACGAAAUAAUAUAUAUAUCUACAUACAUAAAUAUAUAUGUAAUAUUUUUACAUAAUUAGGUAUCUUAAUUAAUUACAAUUAGCGGGACCUGCCUGACAACCCAUGCCAAAAGUGAAGGGAAUUUAAUUUGCUAGCACUAUAUUUAACCCUAUAACUUUCCAAGACACCAUAAAACCUGUACAUGGGGGGUACUGUUCUACUCGGGAGAUUUCGUUGAACACAAAUAUUAGUGUUUCAAAACAGUAAAAUGUAUCACAACGAUGAUAUCGCCAGUAAAAGUGACGUUUUUUGCAUUUUUCAUGCACAAACAAAUACUAACGCUAACUUUGGCCAGUGUUUGUGAUCAAAUGGCUACUAAAAAGACUGGACAUAUACCCCAUUUGCAAUACCUUGGGUAUGCCAUUAUGGGUGUAAGUUUAAUUCCUGGGCUACUAUAAAGUCCCAAAGGCAACGUAACCAAUCUGGCGAAUUUCAAUUUCAAAUGUAACGUGCUAUAUUUGACCCUGUAACUUCCAAAAACGCCGUAAAACCUGUACAUAGGGGGUACUGUUUUACACGUGAGACUUUGCUGAAUACAAAUAUGUGCAUUUUAUUGCAGUAAAAGCAAACCGUAUUAUGACAUUGACCAUUAAAAUGUCAUCUAGAACUAAUAAAAUCUUAUUUUCUCCCAUUUUUUUCAUAUUAAAUUGUUUCAUAGCUAAAUAUUUAAUGAAAGCCCUGUUUCUCCUGAAUAAAAUGAUAUAUAAUAAGGGUGGGUGCAUUUAAUAUGAAAGAGGUAAAUUACGGUUGGACAGACAUGUAGCGCAAAUGCCAAGUUUUGUUUCGUUCACAACAUGUACAUUUGGCUCCGUCCUUAAGGGGUUAAAGGGUACCUGCCAUGAUACCUAUAACCGAUGUUUUGAAAGACAUAACAUUUUAUGUAUACAUAGUAAUAGCAGAUGUAUAAACAUUUUCACACAAUCUGUGCAGAAUGUAAAAUAUUUGUAAGAUUUGUGUAACUUUUGCAAUUGACCUGGGAAAAAAAAUGUGUGUUUCUUCCACAGCUGCGGUUAUUGGUUCUCGUCUACAUUUGGCUGUUGCCCUUUCCUGCUUUACAAUGGCCUUUUAUGUCCUGUUUAUAAAGUGACCGUCGUUCGCUUCUUCAACAUUUGGGUACAGGAUGAAAAACAGCCUAGAAUCAGAAUGGGACUCAUUGCCUUUCAAUGGCUGGAAAUGAGGAGUUUGGACUGUGCUAACUCCAUCUUUUUGCAGUAGCAAGAAUGAUACAAUGUUACACCAUUGGGAUUUUUUUUUACCUCCCUCUCUUCCUCUGUAUUUAAACUCCAUUUUUAAAACAACUGAUGUUCAGUUGGGCAAUAUGGGGAAGAAUAGGCUUACUACUACUAUGGUUAAUGGAGCUUUUUGGCUUUGCAAUCUUAUAUCAUUUGCUGAACAGCUUCAGACUUAAAGUACAGAUCCAUGAACAUGAUAUAACGAAAAAUCCACUUUAUAUAAAAACAAUAUUUAUUUAAUUCCUUCUGUCAUGGUAUUUAUGUGUGGAUUAUGGACAUGCAGAGUUUUGGUUAUGGUAAAUUGGUGCUAUAUGAUCACAAAUGUAACUAGUAGCAUCACAUAAAGAGAGCAUUCUAAUCUGUGUAGGACAUAAGUUGAUUUAACGAUCCUUACAUUUCUUAGCUAAAGUUUCAUAAACACUUACAACAAUCUACACAGCUAUGGCACUUAAUUGACAAAUGAACCUGCUACAUUUCAAACUUUUAUUUUGUAUUUUUAUUAAAGGAACACUAUAGCCACUAAAACAACUUUAGCUUAAUGAAUUUGUUUUAGUGUAUAGGUCAUGCCUCUGAAGCUUCACUGCUCAAUUCUGUGCCAUUUAGGAGUUAAAUCACUUGUGUUUGUUUAUGCAGCCCUAGCCACACCUCCACUGGCUGUGACUGACACACCCUACAGGAAAACAAAAUGGUUUUAUUUUCUAUCAGAUGUAAUUACUUUAAACACAUUUUAUUUCUUGCUCUGGAAAUGUGAACUUUAUUUACAGACACAAGGCUCCUGCAGAGUCUAGCAAGAUAUUAACAGAGGAGGAGAUAAGAAAUUCCCCCUUAUAAUGUAGGGUAAUCCCUAACUAACAGUAUCAAUAUGAUCAAAACUAUUAUACGGUUUAAAAAAAACACAGUUAAUGAGCCAGGAAAACUCAAAGGUAAUAUGUCAAAGGUCCACUACAGGUAGUAGUUGGGAUUGUAUUGCACUGAAACGUUUGAAGGCUCAGUCAAUUUUACUCCCUGCAUUUCCUCUAAUUUGGUAUUGUUGUUCACUAGUCCCAAAAUACCGCCUACUAGACAUAACAGAGAACCAGUUAUCCACAAAACCUGUAAUACAAAAAUAAGUACAUUCUGCUCGGGUUAUUCAUUAACGUGUGAUUUACUAGGAAUUCAGAGUGUUUUUUUAAAUUUUAGCCCAACUAAACAAAUCUCUAAGUAACUUUGAAUUAAAGGGCAACUGUUAACUGCCUUAUUACCUCAAAAAUAUAUUUACUAUAUUAUAAUAUUUAUAUAGUGCCAUCACAUUCCGUAGCUCUGUACAAUGGAUAAUAAUCCUUUCAAGUUUUGGGAGGAAGUGUGUGUGUGUUUACUUUUAGUACAUGACCUGAUCCUCCUUGGGUCAGACAGUGUUUGAAAACUUACAGUCUCCAUGGUCCUCCCUUUUUUGUGUGCAUAGAAGACCAAAGACUAUUGGUUUCAAACACUGUCUGACUCAAAACGCAUGUAUAUGGCUGAAGGAUCAUGUCAUAUACUAAAGGUAGGUGACAAGAUUUUAUUUUUUUCUUAUACUAAUUUAAAAAUAAUCUAUUUCCUUUCAAAACUUGAUUAAAAAAAUAUUAUAUACAAACUGAGGUGACAGUUGUCCUUAUAAUUUUCAAUAAUUACUACAUGUUGCUAGACACACCUAUUUGCUAUUGAAUGUUCAAAUGUUAAAGGAACACUAUAGUCACCUAAAUUACUUAAGCUAAAUAAAGCAGUUUUAGUGUAUAGAUCAUUCCCCUGCAAUUUCACUGCUCUAUUCACUGUCAUUUAGGAGUUAAAUCACUUUGUUUCUGUUUAUGCAGCCCUAGCCACACCUCCCCUGGCUAUGAUUGACAGAGCCUGCAUGAAAAAACUGGUUUCACUUUCAAACAGAUGUAAUUUACCUUAAAUAAUUGUAUCUCAAUCUCUAAAUUGAACUUUAAUCACAUACAGGAGGCUCUUGCAAGGUCUAGAAAGCUAUUAACAUAGCAGGGGAUAAGACAAUCUUAAUUAAACAGAACUUGCAAUAAAGAAAGCCUUAAUAGGGCUCUCUUUACAGGAAGUGUUUAUGGAAGGCUGUGCAAGUCACAUGCCGGGAGGUGUGACUAGGGUUCAUAAACAAAGGGAUUUAACUCCUAAAUUUCAGAGGAUUGAGCAGUUAGGCUGCAGGGGCAUGUUCUAUACCCCAAAACUACUUCAUUAAGCUAAAGUUGUUCAGGUAACGAUAGUGUCCCUUUAAAUGGUAUUACAAUAUAAAUAUUGUUUCACAGUGGUUAGUUUACAGACUAACAAGUUGCUAUUAUGCAAUGCUUGCAUUCCAUUAAUGGAUAAUGCACGUAUGUUAUAGGUGUCCUCUUACCUUACUAUUAUUAGCGUAAUAGUUGUCCAUUCUAAAUUUUUGAAUUUCAAUGGAAAAUUCAUGAUUUAAUCUAUCCACUUGCAAGUAAUUAUGUAGAUACAAAGAAUAAUAGGAAUUUCUAUCUUUUAAGCGCAACUAUUUUAUGUAAAAAAAUAAAUAAAUUUAUAUUUAAUUUCUGACUUAUUGACUAGUUUUUUAAUUUACUUUUAAAGGGACACUGCAGGCCGAAAUCCCUUUGUAAUGCAAAUGGUAAAUAAACCCUAAACAAAUGCUUUUAAUUAAGUUUGCAAAAUAUGUAACUGUAUCUCUACUAAACUGCAUUUUCAUAGCGUAGUGCACACACACACACAACUAAACUGGAGCAUUAAAGUGCUAUUUAGUAGAAGUAGCUAGCCUGGGCAAAUGUAAGAAAUCUCAAAACUUUGUUGCUUAGUGAAUAAUCUUGUAUAUGGUAUGAAUUGCAUGUUCAAAUGAGUGCAGCCCUCUUGGUUUUUUAUAUAUAUAUAUCUCUUCAAAUCCACGAUUCAGUUUAUUCUGUGAUGGAAUUAUUCAAAUAAUUCCAUCACAAUAAUAAAAAAAAAAAAAAUUGACGUUUAAGUUCAUCAGGACAGUAAAAAAAUUUUAAACUGAUAAAUCAGUAUUAAAACGAAUAGCUAUAAAUAGACUAACUUACCUCUCAAGUGUUGGGCCGAGCACAACCCCAUCCAUUCUGUGCUCAUAUGUGUGAAGCUACCUGUUACUCCUAAUUCAUGUGGCUGUCAAAUGCGCUCUUGUGCUUUAACUGCACCCUCUUGUGAUCACAUGAACAAUAACCCCUGGCUGCUUAGAAAUGAGAGAAACAAAGUUCUUGAUGCUAACAAGCUAUCCCAUUUGAUGCCCACAAAUGGCAACUCCUGUUUAUUUAUAUGAGGGGGGUAGUGGGAGGGCAAGAGUGCAGCACUCACCUGAGCAUGCAUGCAUUGUAAUGGUGCUUGUGUGUGUAUAUAUAUAUUCUCUAUCUUGCUAAACAAUGCUUUCAUGGCAUGAUAUACAUACAAGCAUGUAUUAGACAAGCACCGGUAAACAGGGACAUACAUGUAAAGAUAUAAGUAUAUGUUUGCCAUGCUGGCUUCUAAGUUUGAUUCCUGCAACUCAUGUAUCAAAUGCAUUAAAGUUGUAUUUGUGCCUGGAGUGUUCCUUUCAAGAGUAUGGAAUUAUGAAUGGUAGUAAUGUGUCUAAUAAUGUCAUUAAAUAUUUAGUUAUAAAAAAA